UAUAUAAUACAUUAAUUCCAAAAUAAUUUCAGAUUUUAUGUAAAACGUAUUCGAGCGACGUUUUUACGAUAUUAGAGUCUGCAUUGUUAUCUGUGCGAUCGGACUUUGAUAAGAAUAACCAUAUCAAUUUUUAAUAAUUAAAUGUGGAAGGAUUAGAAUUCUUUAUAGACUUUUACAAAUGUCUAAUAAGAUUAUAAUUCACAGUUUCUGGAUGUUUUUGAAGCAGCAGGAUUUUCAUAUUUAUAUAAAUUGUUAGCUAUAAUUGCACAGAAUGCAUAGACAUACUCUCACGUAAUUGGACAUGGAGAUUUCUCUAUACACAGAAUUCGUAGCUGCACGAUCCUGGAUGGAUUCUUCUUUAACAUCAUCGUUACUAGAACUCUCCUCAUCUGCAUUCUUCGAACACGUACUUUGC